UGUGUGUCCUCUGUAAUGUGUAAGCUCUCAGUAUCAUCACUAUUACUUUACAAGCAUAAGAAAAGGGCUGCUAUGUGAGAGCUGAUCUGAUGUACACCGGAAAGUGAUGUACUUAUUAUUUAUGAAGUAUAAUAUUCACAGACUGCAAAUUCGUAAGUGUGUUUUUUAGAAAGUGUUCACCUUAAGCAGUUGGUAGUGUCAAAAAUAUAUUUGUCUGCAAUAAGUAGAGGAGAAUGUUCACACCCGGAGUUUUACAGGAAGCUUUUUCUCCUCUCGUCUGUUCCUUUGUGGAUGUUUUUAUAUCUCUAGUGGGUGUGUCAUGCAAACCAAAUCCUGUGUUUGAACCAUUUAUGCUGAAACAUUCAGCCCAACAACAUAGCAGCAGUUUGUGUUCAUUUACAGCAGCAGGAAUCUGUAUCUGUCCCUAGUGUUUCUAGCCCUUUGCCAUUUUUUCCCUUAAUAAACCCCUUAAUGUUAUCCCUGCAUAUGGGUCUUUUUAUCCUUGAAGACACCCUUGUUUCCUGACUCAAGGUUUCUUUCCUCAUAUCACCUUAAAAAAUGUUCUUGACUUGUUGCCUCAGACUUGCUCAUUAAGGAUAAACAUUAGAGAUAAAUAGUAAUCUCAAUUUUAAACUAUUUUAUUUUUCUAUAAAAGCUGCAUUGAGACAAGAUCUAUUGUUAAAUGUGUUAUACAAAUGAAUUAAAUUGAAUUGACAGAUUGAGAACUACAGUAUGGAAGUAGAUAAACAAAGCCAGAAAAAGAGCUCAGUGCCAUAAUCAUUGAGACUAAUAUUGAUUUCCUAAUUAACUGAUUAGAAAUCCAAAUUUAAAUGAUUUACUAUGUUACUGCUGAUACUGUAUCUGAGUGUUUUCUCUCUUUUAAACCUUUCUGAUAAAAAUGUUCAGUUUAGGAAUUCCUACCAACUUUUUUUUUUUUCAGCAAGAACAUUAUAUUUUGCAUAUGCACCUGUAGGGGGCAGCAGCUGCUUGUUUUUGAGAAGGAUUCAUGAAACGAUGAAACCUAACAGCUGAAGUGGGUUUAUGCAAAUUCACCCUGUUAUUAAAAACAGCCUCUUGCAGUUUGAAGUUUGUGUCAUACGACUGAAUCAAAGAGCAUGAUGAUGGGGCUGAAGGUCACUCAGUACUACAUCUUUGUUAUGAUGUUAACCAAAGGUGUCAGCAGUGAUGAGAUCAGACUGGACCAGUCUCCUGCUGUGGUAAAGAGACCUGGAGAAACUGUGAAGAUCUCCUGUAAGAUACAUGGAUAUUCAAUGACAAGCUACAGCAUACACUGGAUCAGACAGAAACCAGGGAAAGCUCUGGAAUGGCUUGGCUGGAUGUAUACAGGCAAUAAUGAUGCAACAUAUGCAGAGUCUGUGAAGAACCAGCUCACCUUUACAGAAGACGUCUCAGCAAGCACACAGUACUUAGAGGCCAAGAGUAUGAGGACAGAGGACACUGCGGUUUAUUACUGCACCCGACAAGCCACAGUGACUGAAGCUGAGGAAGCAGCUGUACUAAAACCAGACACACAUUGUAACUGAACUAACUGAAGUUGCUUAACUUAUAAUUGUAACACAGUUGAACACAGUUUAUAUCUAUUUACUGCUCCAAUUAUCUAUAAAUGUACCUGGAUAACCCUAAAGUAGAUGUGGCCUAAACUAAUUAUCAGGAAUGAAAAUAUACAUAAACCCUGUUUCUAUGAUCCUGGAAACACUUGAAAAAGCUACAGGUAGAAAUAACAGCUCUGUCAGCAUGCUGUGUGAAUGUGGUUCUGACUGUUCCUCAAACCAAUAAACUAGUAGACAUCACAGUCCCAAUACACACUGUAAUAGUUUGACUCACUUUUAUAUUUAUGCUUUUAUGUGUAUCACAGUGUAAGAAAAAAUCAAGCCAAAGCAGCAGAAGUGGUAGGGAGCGUUAACAAAUACUACAAACAGAGACAGAGUGAGAACUAUGGAAACAGUUUAAAAUCAGAGGAUGAAAGUCAUUUACAUACUAAAUGUAACUUACAGAUUCAGUGUAAAA